GGGGACCGAGAAAGUGUAACAGUGCGAGUGAGCGAGAGAGAGGGGGGAAAGGACAGGACGAAAAAGAAAGAGCGGAGCGCCCAGCACAGCCAGAAGAGAAAUGCAAAAGAUGCAGAAUUGCAUAAGAUGCAGCAGAGCCCUGAGCCUUUCACUAACCUGGAUGCUCUGGAAAUCUUAUGAAAUAAGCUGAGGAGAGCCUAUCAUGAACUAUAAUUGAUCUUGGGAAUUGAUGGCCCAAUAAAAGGAUACACGAAAUGUCAUGGAAG
rnacentral:lncRNA from 9 species